GCCUGCAUUUUCACUCCAAUUCGUUUAGUUUGCUCUGCUAAAACUCACUAUUUAGCAGCAGGAUUAAGCAAGUGCAUUUUUAUUCUUUGCAGAUCUCAAUAAAAGUCAAUAAACCGAUUAAAUUUUAUGCGUGACGUCACAAUAUUCAACCGGAUUGUCUACCGGGAUAUUGACAGAGCGCCAAACUGGCAGCGGUCGCGUGACGGUUGCAAUAUGAGGUUAACCGCAACCGAUUUGUUUGUAAGUUGUAAAUUAUUUGUUAUCUAUGGUGUUCAUUGCGAUUUACCGGCUGUGUAUCAAAUUGUAAUUGUAAGGUGGAAUCAAUAAAUAUGAAGACGAAAAACCCGAAUCCGUCACGAAGCAAUUCGUCUAAACGGCAGGUCGAGUUUUACGUUCGCAAUGAUCAGUAUAGCUGCUCAAGGAAAACUUUUAGAGAAAUAAGACAUUAUCAGCAGAUGACAGAUGUGCUCAUUCCGAAAAUAUCCUUCCAGCGAUUAAUUAUGGAAAUUUUAAGAAGCUUUAAUCCUGACGCUCGAAUAGCUCAUUCUGCUGUAGAGGCGUGCCAAGUAGUGGCGGAACAUUAUCUUGUGGAGCUGUUCAACGACUCGCAAAGAGCGGCUAAUCACGCCCGAAGAAAAACCGUUCAACCAAGGGACAUGCAAUUGGUUCUUGAGUUCAAGCCAGUUUGAACAGAAGUACGUUAUGUCAAGAUUGGUCCCAUUGUAUUUAUUUUUUUUUUAAACUUUAUGGCCCAGAGCAUCGGCAUAUGUUUUUGACUGUAAUGCUUGCCAUGCAAGCAACGUAAGUUUAAGCAAAAUGACACUGUUAAUGUAGGAUCAUUAUUUAUGUUAGAGUCGUUUUCAUUUAUCUAGUAUCUAAGAUAAGAAGGACUAAUAACUAAGAUAUUGUAACUCUUAUUAAAUGUAUAUUUUUAUAAGUAGUUAAAAAGUUCAAAAAAGGCUGUAUUUUAUUACUGUUGUUCUUCCCAAACUUGCGGGAAUUUUCCAGAGAAAAUUGGCUGAAUUAAACUGAUUUUGAAAAUAA
rnacentral:lncRNA from 1 species